rnacentral:rRNA from 1 species
AUGGUCUUAAUUGAUGACGUAUGGUCUGCAUCGCUGCUGGAUAGUAUUAUAAAUGCACUUCCAACUGGUGAAGAAAGCAAAAUAAUAGUUACUACACGGUUUCAUGAUGUUGCUACAACACAAAGAGAAGUCGACAUUCGUAAAGUUCGUGGUCUUGUUGAAGAAGAAUCCAAGAAGUUGUUUAUGCAGGCGUACAAUGAGUCCAAAGGAAGCAAAGAUCCUACUCCAACAUCUAAGAGAAAAGAAGGCAGGAAAGAUGGUCUAUUUCCAGAGCAAGUAUGGAAGAUUUGCAAGGGGAUGCCAUUGGCCAUAAUUACAAUGGCUGGUCUUGUGGCCUGCAACCCAGGCAAAGAGCAUCAGUAUUGGGAGAAAGUUUGCAAAGAUAUAUUUCCAGAAUCAGCGAAAACUGGUGCGGAAGAUCUUACACAGGAGGAAGUGGCCAGGCUCAUUAGCCAUUGCUAUGACGACAUGCCUGCUGAAAUCCAGACUUGCUCACUGUAUUUGAGCAUAUUUCCCAAGGGGUACAAAAUCAGCAGGAAACGCUUAACAAGGCGAUGGAUAGCUGAAGGUAUAGUCUGUGAGAAAGACGGGCUGGGUGUGGAUGUUAUUGCGGAGACAUACUUCAAUCAUCUCAUAAGGAGGAAGAUCAUCCAACCAGUAGAGCAUAACGGUAAUGGAAAGGUGAAGAAAUGUGCAGUUCACGAUAUGGUUCUUGAGCUCAUUGUGAGGAAGGCAAGUGAAGAGAAUUUCAUCACUGUGGUUGGUGGUAACUGGUUCAUGCAACUUCCCAGCAGCAAGGUCCGUCGGCUGUCCAUCCAAGACAGUGAUUCCAAACAUGCAAAGGAUACCGAGAAGAUGAAUUUGUCUCAUGUCAGGUCACUGACCAUCUUCGGGAGCUUGAAGAAACAACUCUCUUCCCAUUCGUUUAAGUUUGGAAUUGUACAGGUCCUCGAUCUUGAAGGCUGCAAGGAUGUUAAACAACACCAUAUAAGUGAGAUAUGUGAAAUGUUUCUUCUCAAAUAUCUCAGCCUCAGAAAAACAUACACCAACCAACUUCCUGAUAACAUUGGAAAGCUUAAGAGCCUUGAGACGCUGGACAUAAGGGAGACAGAAGUUGUCGAGUUGCCUAAAGCUGUAAGCCAGCUUGAAUGUUUAGUUAACAUACUUGGAGGGGAUAAAGCAACACGGAAGGCAUUGAGGCUUCCUGGAGAUUUCAAGAAGAAAAUAAAGGCACUGCAAAUACUAUCAGGGGUUGAGGUUGUUGAGGGAUCAUCGGACCUUCAUCAUUUGACCAAGCUUAGGAAGCUUGCUAUCUACAAGCUCAAAACCAUGGUCACUGAUGCCAGUUUAGAGAAGUUAAGGUCCUCCAUUGAGUACCUAGGUGGCUGCUCUCUGCAGACCCUAAUAAUUGAUGAUGAGUCAUCUGAUUUUGUCAAAUCACUGGAUGGUUUGUCAUCUCCUCCAAGAUUCCUUGUUGCCCUUGAGUUAUCUGGGAAGAUGAUGAAGCUCCCCAAGUGGAUCACACAACUGAAUGUUCUGAACAAGUUAACCCUUUCAUUGACAGCCUUCCGGACAGAUAACUUGAAGGACCUCAGUGAACUAAAAGCGUUGUUUUCUCUCACAUUCUGUUUUAGGGCCAAACAACAGGACCGACAAACACUGAGUAUUAUUGCGAAAAACAAGAUGUACUCCGACGGGCAGAUCACGGUACCAGAUAGUGGAUUCAAGAGUCUAAAACUUAUGUGCCUCUCUGGUCCUAUAUUGCCACUUCUGAGAUUUUCAAGGAAGGCCAUGCCAGAGCUAGAAAGGCUUGAGAUUAGGUACAACAUGCUGGAGGGCAUUCUUGGUGCAGAAAACCUUGAGAAGCUGAAAGAGUUUCAUUUGACAUCAACCGACGAAGAAGAGGACCAUCUAACGACCAAGGAGAUUGUAAGUGAGCUGUGUAAAUUGAAGAGGAUUGACGGCACAACGCCCAGGGUGAUCCUUCACCAGCGACCGGUUAUAGUGAAACCAAAGUCCGGGUGA